rnacentral:rRNA from 1 species
GACGAACGCUGGCGGCGUGCUUAACACAUGCAAGUCGAACGGUGAAGCGCCUUCCUGGGGUGUGGGUGGGGAGGAGUGGCGAACGGGGGAGUAACACGAGAGCAACCGGCCCCGUUCUUCUUGAUAACCGCAUGAAAGUGUUGCUAAUACGUGAUAUUCUGGGUCUGUCGCAUGAUGGGUCUAGGAAAGAUAUUGUUUCGGUGUGGGAUGGGCUCGCGGCAUAUCAGCUUGUUGGUGGGGUGAUGGCCUACCAAGGCGGUGACGGGUAGCCGGCCUGGGAGGGUGGACGGUCCAGCUGGUACUGAGCCACGGGCCAGACUACUACGGGCGGCAGCAGUGGGGAUUAUUGCACGAUGGGAGCAAGCCUGAUGCAGCGACGCCGCGUGAGGGAUGGAGGCCUUAGGGUUGUGAUCCUCUUUCGCCAGUGAAGCAGGCCUGACUCGUUUGUGGGUGGGUUGACGGUAGCUGGAUAAGAAGCGCCGGCUAACUACGUG